CAAUAGCGUAUAUUAAAGUUGUUGCAGUUAAAAAGCUCGUAGUUGGAUUUCUGGUGGGAGCGAUCGGUCUGGCGCUUAGCGCGAGUACUUGCAUCGUCUCCGGCCAUCCUUGGGGAGAGUCCGUCUGGCAUUAAGUUGUCGGGCAGAGGAUCCUCAUCGUUUACUGUGAAAAAUUAGAGUGUUCAAAGCAGGCUUAUGCCGUUGAAUAUAUUAGCAUGGAAUAAUAAGAUAGGACUUUGGUACUAUUUUGUUGGUCUGCGCACCAAAGUAAUGAUUAAUAGGGACAGUUGGGGGUAUUCGUAUUCCGUUGUCAGAGGUGAAAUUCUUGGAUUUACGGAAGACGAACUACUGCGAAAGCAUUUACCAAGGAUGUUUUCAUUAA
rnacentral:rRNA from 1 species